ensembl:lncRNA
CUCUCUUUCUUUCUUUCCCAUACCGUCUCUCCAUGUAGCCCAGGUUGGCCUUGAACUUGGUGACAAUCCUCCUGCCUCAGCCUCCCCGAGUGCUAAGAUUGCAGGUGUGUGCUACCACACCCGGCUAAAACAACUCAUCUCUACAGCUGCAGUUGAGUCAGCUGCAGAGUACUUUGCCUUCGUAGCCACGUUGGAUUUGGCAGCUGGUGAUCACCAUGCCGGACUUGGGUGCUCUGAGGUCCCUGCCUCUUGCUCUGUCAUUCCUCAGUGCUCUUCACUCCCCGUGGCAGCAGGAGGCUCCCAGCACAGCAGGGAAGGUUUGGAGCUGGCUCCUUCGAUCGUAGACCUGUAGGCAUUUCCACUUACCCACCGACACCCAUAUAUGCGCAGCAGCCCCAAGGAAACCAAUCCCAACGAAACCAAAGACAGACUUUCAGGAACUCUUAUGAAACAAAUCGGGCCGUGACCUGUCAUUACA